GACGAACGCUGGCGGCGUGCUUAACACAUGCAAGUCGAACGGAAAGGCCUGCUUUCCCUUGUGGAUUGCGGGUACUCGAGUGGCGAACGGGUGAGUAACACGUGAGUGAUCUGCCCCCAACUUGGGUAUAAGCCUGGGAAACUGGGUCUAAUUCCCGAUAGGACUGCAGGGUGGUGGCUGUGGUGGAAAACGAUUUUCUAGUGGUUGGGGAUGAGCUCGCGGCCUAUCAGCUUGUUGGUGGGGUAAUGGCCUACCAAGGCGGGGAGGGGUAGCGGGCGUGAGAGGGGGGACGGUCGCACUGGGACUGGGACCAGGCCCAGACGCCAACGGGAGGUAGGAGUUGGGGAUAAUGGAGAAUGGGCGGGAGCCAGACGCAGCGACGCCGCGUGGGGGAUGACGGCCUUCGGGUUGUAAACUCCUUUCGACCGCGAGGAAGCCACCUGGUUGGAAGGGUGGUGACGGUAGUGGUAGAAGAAGCACCGGCUAACUACGUG
rnacentral:rRNA from 1 species